rnacentral:tRNA from 1 species
GGGCCAUUAGCUCAGGUGGUUAGAGCGCACCCCUGAUAAGGGUGAGGUCCCUGGUUCAAGUGCAGGAUGGCCC